GCGUUGGUGGUUCACUGGUAGAAUGCCCAUCUUCCAUGCGGGCGACCUAGGUUCCAUUUCCGGCCAAUGCA
rnacentral:tRNA from 1 species